rnacentral:tRNA from 1 species
GAGGGUACAGCUCAAGUGGUAGAGCAUAUGCUUAGCAUGCUUGAGGUCCUGGGUUCAAACCCCAGUACCUCCU